rnacentral:rRNA from 1 species
AGUGAACGCUGGCGGUAGGCCUAACACAUGCAAGUCGAACGGCAGCACAGUAAGAGCUUGCUCUUACGGGUGGCGAGUGGCGGACGGGUGAGGAAUACAUCGGAAUCUACUUUUUCGUGGGGGAUAACGUAGGGAAACUUACGCUAAUACCGCAUACGACCUACGGGUGAAAGCAGGGGAUCUUCGGACCUUGCGCGAUUGAAUGAGCCGAUGUCGGAUUAGCUAGUUGGCGGGGUAAAGGCCCACCAAGGCGACGAUCCGUAGCUGGUCUGAGAGGAUGAUCAGCCACCCUGGAACUGAGACACGGUCCAGACUCCUACGGGAGGCAGCAGUGGGGAAUAUUGGACAAGGGGCGCAAGCCUGAUCCAGCCAUACCGCGGGGGUGAAGAAGGCCUUCGGGUUGUAAAGCCCUUUUGUUGGGAAAGAAAAGCAGCAGGUUAAUACCCCGCUGUUCGGACGGUACCCAAAGAAUAAGCACCGGCUAACUUCGU